rfam:Oryza sativa Japonica Group DNA, chromosome 10, cultivar: Nipponbare, complete sequence.
AAAAAGAUAAACCCUAUAUUUUCGUGUCCAACAUUUGACUGUUCGUCUUAUAUGAAAUUUUUUUAUAAUUAGUAUUUUUAUUGUUGUUAGAUGAUAAAACAUGAUUAAUACUUUAUGCAUGACUUAUCUUUUAAAAUUUUUUAUAACUUUUUUAAAUAAGACAAGACGGUCAAACGUUGAACACGGAAACC